UAGGGAAUCUUCCGCAAUGGGCGAAAGCUUGACGGAGCAACGCCGCGUGAGUGAUGAAGGUCUUCGGAUCGUAAAACUCUGUUAUUAGGGAAGAACAAAUGUGUAAGUAACUAUGCACGUCUUGACGGUACCUAAUCAGAAAGCCACGGCUAACUACGUGCCAGCAGCCGCGGUAAUACGUAGGUGGCAAGCGUUAUCCGGAAUUAUUGGGCGUAAAGAGCGCGUAGGCGGUUUUUUAAGUCUGAUGUGAAAGCCCACGGCUCAACCGUGGAGGGUCAUUGGAAACUGGAAAAAUUGAGUGCAGAAGAGGAAAGUGGAAUUCAAUGUGUAGCGGUGAAAUGCGCAGAGAUAUGGAGGAACACCAGUGGCGAAGGCGACUUUCUGGUCUGUAACUGACGCUGAUGUGCGAAAGCGGGGGGAUCAAACAGG
rnacentral:rRNA from 1 species